CGGGAAAGACAGGUGGGAGUAAGAUGCUGACAUAUGGACUGGAGUGAUGUGGACGCACUACCAAUUUGUGCAAAUCUGCUGAAUGUGAAAGCAAAGCUGUUGAUUUACUGUAGAUCUAAAUUCCUACCCUCACCUAUAGUCACGAGCUCUGGUUACUUACCAAAAGAAACAUAUCAUACAUAGAAGAGGCAGAAAUUAGCUUCCUCCACAAGGUGUCUGGGCUCUGGGAGGUGCAGGUGAAGCAACAGGACUUCACUGCUGCACCUUGUGAACCAACAUGUUGGAUGCUUGCUUUACAUUCCUGGAGACGUGUUGGAGUUCUGGAUGGAUAUGAAAGUCAGGAUUGUGUAAUAUAGAUAGCUGGUGCAAUUCCUACUGGGCUUCACUAUCAGGAGUACAGAUGCUGGUGAACACAAUGCUCAGUGAUGGAGGGACAACCCCUGACAGUGAGCACUGACUGCAUCCCACCUGCCGAGCCAGACGACAGGGAGCAGCCGUGCCAAGGCACCCGGCCAGAGGCUUGCCAGCGGGGGUGCUUGGUCCAGGCUGAGGCAGCUUCUCUGGCUGGAUGUCCACCUGGGUGAUAAGCACCGCAGACUCCACUCACCCUUCAGGGCUCACAGCAGGACGUGGAUACCGAGUCGCUGCUGUUCUGCUCGGUUGAGCCAAAUCCCACAAGCAAGAAGGAGAGGGAAUAAAAUUACAAAUGUAUGUUAAAGAGAUACAGUGUUCCAUAUUCAAACUAUCCCAGGCAAUGUUUGGUGUGUAAAUAUAGCUGCUUUUAGGCCUAAACCAGUAGACCAGUAAACAUCUUCUAACAGAAAUGCUGCAAAAUGCCUCAGUUGUGUGCUUUAAAUAUAUUUUUGUUUAGAGAUGAUAUCAGUUUUCCCUUUCUUUAAAAAAGAAAAUCUUGCAUUAAACCCACUGACUUGAGAAAACUCUCUGGUUUGCUUUGAAGGAUCAAGUUUAAAACCUUCCCAUAUUUUCCAAACAUCCGAUUCGGUUCUAUCUGAACUGUCCGGAUAAAUUUAUAAGACGAGGUUUCUUUUGAACAUCAGCUUCAAAAUAGCUUGAAAACAAAAGUUGCAAACUAUUGUGUGACAUCUAGAUCCUGAUACCUGCAUUCAACAUGUAAAUCAUGUUUAAACCAAGAAUUAUGACAUAAAAAUUAGGAAACUCAUUUUGAAAUUUAAGCAUUUUUGUGUUAAGGUUAUAUAUAUAUAUAUUUUUUUUUAAU
rnacentral:lncRNA from 1 species